UUAAAGACAUAAAUUUAAAUAUCUUGCCGGGGCACUACGAACACAUGUUUAAAACCCAAAGGACUUGGCGGUGCUAUAAUCCAACUAGGGGAACCUGUCCCUUAAUUCGAUAACCCACGAAAAUCUUACUUGCCUUAGAUGUUAUUAUCAGCUUAUAUACCGUCGUCUAGCCGGCCUUAGCGAGAGAUAAAAAGCUGGCAAAAAAGGUUUUUCCCUAAUAAGACAGAUAAAGGUGUAGCCAAUAGGUAAGGGAAGGAUGUGUUACAAUUAAUAAUUUGAUAAUGGAAUUCUAAUGAAAUUUUAGGAGGAAAGAGGACUUAGAAGUAAUCUUGUAGUAAACACUGGAAA
rnacentral:rRNA from 1 species